GGGAGUGUACGUUGAAAAUGCUACAACAGAGGAACCUGCGGGUAAAACACUCUGAUAAAAGCAUAUGGAUUGGUAUUAUAUUAACUUAAAUUGAGGGAUGGUUAGAUUUACUCUAAAUAUCUAAGUUAGUAUUCAGUCAUUCAACCUGGUCAAUCAGAGGGAGUAUGUUUUGAUUUUCUAGCUAACGUUAGCUACACAGUUAACGUUAAAUGCCUUCAUGACGAGACAACCGCCUUUCCAUGUCAUUUGAAUGUAGCUAGUGCUGGUGGUAACGUUACAACACCAGGCUGAGUCCACACUCAGCAUUAUUUGUCCGUUGUUUCCAAAUUUUAAAAAAGGUAGCUUGUGAGCAAAUAUACUAGCGAAGUUUGUGAACGAAUAGCUACAGACAGUAGCUUCUAGUCGUCUAGCCAAAGAAAAUUUGCAGACUUGUUGGGAUUUCCCUUCGCUGUGGUUACCAUUAGUCACCUUGGCGCUUUACUUGAGCUAGCUAGCUAAUAUUAGCUAUUACAUUUGCUCAGAUUUAACGCUGCUGCAGUCAGAGAAACAUCAUGGUAAGUAUCGUAUACUAUCUAAAUCAAGAUAAGAGUAUUUUAUCACAAGUCUCCUAAUACAUUAUUGGUCAUUCUGCAAGAUCAACCCUCUUAAGAUGUAAUAGUGCUCAGUAUAGGUUGUUGAGAGCUAGAUAAUUCCCCACAACAAGAUAGCUUCUAGUUAAAGCUAACAGUUUAUUCAAGUGCCAGUCACCACCAUUGACUGCAGCGAACUUUGUUUUAAAACCCCUAACCUGGGUGGGUAUAAUUUAUUGAACGUUCCAAAAGGAAUCUGUUCCAGAAACUUCGUAAAUAACAAGGUUGCCAACAAACAACGCAUACAAAGUUGUAUAGCGGCCGAAUAAGAUAGCCCACUCCCUACCGGGUAUGUCAUUAAGUUUUCACUCAUCACGUUUAUUCCGAAAAAUGUCUGUCCUCACUCUGGUAGCCUAUGGACAAACAUUAAGAAUAAGCUAUGUGGUGAGUUGAUGCCUAUUCGACAGCUAGUUAGCAAGGUGCAUUUAUCGUGCUACUUUGUAUGCGUUGUUUGGCAAUCUUGUACGACGUUUUUGGAACAGAUUCCUGUUGAAAAAUUCCACAAAUGAAACCCACCCCCUAUCCUAUGUGUUCCUAAUCGAUACAGGCUAAACAGAAGAAAGGACAGAAGAGUAAGUCCCUCUGAUGUUGUUAUUUACCCAUUUAAAUCCUGCACAAUACAACUUGAAUGGAGCUCACAGAUUCAUUCAAUGAUGUUUUUGUACUACAGGUUCAAUUGAUGAUAUGUUAGGAGAUGAUGAUUUCCCAGUGAAGGCCAAAGCUCCGGCCCGUGAAGCAGGCAGACUAGGACCUCCUCUACCAUCACGCAGUGGAAAACACUCACUAUUGGGCGACGACUUCUUCAGCAAACUGGCUAAGGAGGCUGAAAAUGAGGGCUCUGAUGUUUCUGAGGCUGAUCUCACAGCCUUACUGGAGAGCAUGAAGGACAUGGAUGAUAUGGACGCUGAUCUCUUUGGAUCAAAGAAAAAGCCCAGUUCAGCCCCAGCUCAGAGUAAAGGCUCCGGCAUUGGAGGACCUACAAAAAAUCCUCCUAAAUCAGUAAACAAGUUAAAAGGAGGAGGAAUCUCAGAUGAGCUACACAUUGAGGAGAAGAAGCCAAGUUCUGCUCCUGCAUCGACAGCACGUGGCUACAAGAGGUCUACAGACUUUGAUGACCCUUUGGCUGACCUGUUAGAGGAUCUACCCAUAGAAGACAAAAAUUAGCUAAAAAUCAUCAAACAAGCUCCUCCAGAGAGAUCAGUGCUGCCCCCAGACUCCCCUAUCAUAAAGAAACAGCCUCACCAGCUCCAGUUCCAAAGAAGCGGGACGAGCUUACGUUUGAUGAUGACGAGGAUGACCUAAUGGAUGCAUUGGGGUUUGGGGAGAGUCCCAAAGAAAGCCCUAAGAAGAAUGAGACCGUGCUCAUACCAAAGAACGAGAGGUAGGGUCUCAAAUGCCUCAGUCAACAUCAUCAGUUCCAACCAAGGCUAUCACAAAACCUAUGGACUAUGAUAAACCCAACAAAAAGUUCAUUGGAAAUGCACCCUCCCUGUUCCUCUGCGCUGACUGUAUAUAGCAGCAGUGAGCUCCCUCAAAGAGCACGCACCAGGCUAGAUGAGAUUCUGGGGCGUGGGACGUCCCCUCGCCUUCUGGAGCGCCCUCUAACAGGGGAGACGAAGGACGCUCCGCAGGAGCAGGAAAAGCAGAAGCAUCAUCAGGAGACCCCCACUACUAAGACCCCUUCCUAGAAGAAGAGCUGACGUUUGGUUCCUAUCAACCUACACUGGUCACUACACCUGAGGGACGCCACUCAUGCAGACAGUCGGUCAGAUUCUCCACUGAGGACAACAGUGCAUCUUCUCCUGAGAAGAAACCCAAACCCAUCACCCCCACCACGCUCACCCCUACCUUCCCCCGGCCUGCUGCAGACUGGCUGGGGCUCUCGCAGAAUGUUAAAUAUGACGAUUGUGUUGUGGGAGCGCUGGAGAGUGAAUGCAGAGCAGGCUAAGGCCGACUCAUCUCAGCGAGGCCUGGACAAAGAGAGAGGCUCUAACUCAGCACAUCAGCAUGGAGAGAGAGGAGCUGGAGAGGGCAAAAAGUGCCUUGUUGGAGGAGCAGCAGCAGGUAAUGCAGCACUGCAGAGGAGAGAAGGAAGCUGGUGGCUGAGUGGACCCAGUUCCACACCCAGGAGAAGCAGAGGCAGGACCGAGCAGAGGCGGCCAGCCGGGCACUGGAGAGGGAUGCCCACAGAGGGCUCCAUCAUCAGCAUGGCACAGUCACCAUGAACAGGUGGACCUGAAGCUGCGCGCUGGGGAGCUAAAGCAGCAUGAGGCGGCUGUAGCACGGGAGAGGGAGGCUCUGGACAGGGAAAAGGAGAGGCUGAGUGGUACAGGCCUGCAGCUGAAGACAUUCAGCAAGCUGGCAUCAGAAAAAUAGGAGGGGGAGAAGGCCCUACAGGAGUCCAGACAGGUGGAGACUGAGCACCAGACCAGGCUGAGGAACAUCCACUCCCAGAUGGAGACAGACAGCAGGAGCAGCACCUCCAGCAGGAGAGUGAAGAUGACUGAGCAGCGUAGAGCAAGGGAGAGACUCAAGCAAAGCAUCCCAAUCACUUUCCCUCAAUCUAUGGCCCCUAUAUACACAGACUUCAGACCAUUGUUGGCAGUACCUCAAAUGGCCUCCACCAAGGCUAUUUGCCAGCCCUCACCCCUGUUCUCUAGUCCGGAUUCUACAGAGCUCCAGGCCAGGUUGGCCCUGCUCAGGCACACAGCAGAGAAGGAUCGUGACUUUCUGCAGGACGAGCAGUUCUUCCUGGACACACUGAAGAAAGCACCUUAUAAUUCAGCCUUUCACACUGAUUAACUGUGGGGCUUAGAGCCCGGUGACUUUCUGGUUUUAAGUGCGCCAUUAAACUUGACAUUUACUAA